UUCAUGUAUGAUUUAUUUUCUUGUGUAAAAAGAGUAAGUACAAAGCAAAAAAACAACAAUAACACUCUUAAAGGAGUUUAUGAAACUCGUUGAUCUGACAGUCUGUAGAAAUAGACAAUCCCCACAAACAUAUACAAUCCACUCUAUAUUAUAGAGUUCAAAUUCUAAUCCACGUCUGUAUUCCCACUGCCCAAGGCCCUUCCCACCCUAUAACACAAAAGCUCCCCUCAAGCACAAUAUGUACAUCAUCCCAGUGAUCGAGAAGCUCACUGAGACCAAACUGCAGCCAUGCUGAAAUGGGGGGGGGGGUAUUCUCCAAGAAUGGCUGGGAAGGAAGGGUGUGUGAAGAGAUAUUAGUUAGUCCAAAUAGUCAGGAAUGUAGCCAGUACAAAAUAUACAAUGCUUGAUUGUUGCCACAAAAAACAGGAAUGAUUAAG